AUGAACGCUGGCGGCGUGCCUAACACAUGCAAGUCGAACGGAUCCAUACUGAAACCUAGUGAUGUAUGGAUUAGUGGCGGACGGGUGAGUAACGCGUGGAUAACCUGCCGUAUACACGGGGGAUAACACUUAGAAAUAGGUGCUAAUACCGCAUAAGCGCACGGUUCCGCAUGGAACAGUGUGAAAAACUCCGGUGGUAUACGAUGGAUCCGCGUCUGAUUAGCCAGUUGGCAGGGUAACGGCCUACCAAAGCAACGAUCAGUAGCCGGCCUGAGAGGGUGGACGGCCACAUUGGGACUGAGACACGGCCCAAGCUCCUGCGGGAGGCAGCAGUGGGGGAUAUUGCACAAUGGGGGAAACCCUGAUGCAGCGACGCCGCGUGAGUGAAGAAGCAUUUCGGUGUGUAAAGCUCUAUCAGCAGGGAAGAAAGAAAGUCCUUUGGACUUUGGACGGUACCUGACCAAGAAGCCCCGGCUAACUACGUG
rnacentral:rRNA from 1 species